GGAUGUGAGGGUAAUCUGGCAAUGACAUAUGACACCCCACUGAAGGCCAGCAUUGAUUUUGUUGAUCAGACUGGCUAGGUGGCUAUCUCCUUACUCCCUCACCUCUCUCUCCAUGGGAAUCAAUCUCAAAGCUACACAGUCAGUCCAAACAGAUGAUCUCCCUGUAAUACAGUCUUUAGUCAAGCAUAUACAAGCAGCUGAACUCCCAUGCUACAACACCCAAACAAUAUCCCCGUAGAGAGGAUUCUGGACCUAAGAAAAUUUAGGGUUACAAAUUUCCAGGUCACCU
rnacentral:snRNA from 1 species